GUGUCAGCAGCCGCGGUAAAACGUAGGAGGCUAGCGUUAUCCGGAUUUAUUGGGCGUAAAGCGUGUGCAGGCGGUUUGGUAAGUUGGAUGUGAAAGCUCCUGGCUUAACUGGGAGAGGUCGUUCAAAACUACCAGACUUGAGGAUGGGAGAGGGAGAUGGAAUUCCGGGUGUAGUGGUGAAAUGCGUAGAUAUCCGGAGGAACACCAGUGGCGAAAGCGGUCUCCUAGACCAUUUCUGACGCUUAAACACGAAAGCUAGGGUAGCAAACGGGAUUAGAGACCCCGGUAGUCCUAGCUGUAAACGAUGUAGACUUGGCGUUGGCGGAGUUAAAUCUGCCAGUGCCGAAGCUAACGCGUGAAGUCUACCGCCUGGGGACUACGACCGCAAGGUUAAAACUUAAAGGAAUUGACGGGG
rnacentral:rRNA from 1 species